GUAAGGGAUAUUGCGCAAUGGGCGAAAGCCUGACGCAGCAACGCCGCGUGCGGGAUGACGGCCUUCGGGUUGUAAACCGCUUUUCAGGGUGAAGAGGAAGGACGGUAGCCCUGGAAUAAGUCUCGGCUAACUACGUGCCAGCAGCCGCGGUAAAACGUAGGAGGCGAGCGUUAUCCGGAUUUACUGGGUGUAAAGCGCGUGCAGGCGGCUUUGUAAGUUGUGCGUGAAAGCGCUCAGGCUCAACCGGGCGAGGACGUGCAAAACUGCGGAGCUAGAGGUAGGUAGAGGCGUGUGGAAUUCCGGGUGUAGUGGUGAAAUGCGUAGAGAUCCGGAGGAACACCAGUGGCGAAGGCGACACGCUGGGCCUGACCUGACGCUAAGACGCGAAAGCAUGGGGAGCGAACGGGAUUAGAAACCCCAGUAGUCC
rnacentral:rRNA from 1 species